rnacentral:rRNA from 1 species
AACGAACGCUGGCGGCAGGCUUAACACAUGCAAGUCGAGCGCCCCGCAAGGGGAGCGGCAGACGGGUGAGUAACGCGUGGGAAUCUACCCAUCUCUACGGAAUAACGCAUGGAAACGUGUGCUAAUACCGUAUACGUCCUUCGGGAGAAAGAUUUAUCGGAGAUGGAUGAGCCCGCGUUGGAUUAGCUAGUUGGUGGGGUAAAGGACUACCAAGGCGACGAUCCAUAGCUGGUCUGAGAGGAUGAUCAGCCACACUGGGACUGAGACAAGGCCCAGAGUCCUACGGGAGGCAGCAGGGGGGAAUAUUGGACAAUGGGCGCAAGCCUGAUCCAGCCAUGCCGCGUGAGUGAUGAAGGCCCUAGGGUUGUAAAGCUCUUUCACCGGUGAAGAUAAUGACGGUAACCGGAGAAGAAGCCCCGGCUAACUUCGUGCCAGCCGCCGCCGUAAUAC